GAACAGCGGCUAAAGAGAUUACCAAUUCACAUAAUUUCAAAUUUUUUUCUAUGAUUGAUUAUGUUGUCAAUUUUGUGUUUAUAGAAUUAUGAACUCAAAAAUAAAUAAAUAAAUAAAUCCAACACAGCCUUUUUUUCUUAUUUACUCCUCAUUGUCGUGGUGUCUAUGAGUUAAACAGACCGACCAAAUAAUUUUCUAAGUCAACCCUCCAUGUUAUUCAUUUUUUUUUAAAAAAAAAAUUUGGCUACAAAUUAAAGAAGAAUUGCAUCAAGCUUUGAUAUGUAAAAACGCAAACAAUUGGACUUGAGAGGAGAGGAGGAAGAUGGCGCCACCACCCUCCACCGUGGUUUCGCUGGUGGUCACUCUUAUGUUGAGAGUUCUUACGUUCAUUUUCUUGUUAAUUUCGCUGAUCACCUGGCCACCAACAACGCCAUCUUAUCUACCAAUAUCGCCACGAUCAAGAUCAGAUUUAGUGAUAUUUAUGCUUACAAGUAUAUGCUUUUCACUAUUCUGAUCGGACUUGCAUACACUUCGCUGCAAACUCUGUUCACUAUCUACCAAAUGAGCACGGAAAAUCACCUUGGUGGUGAUUGCUUGUCGCACAGUUUUUUUUUUUUUUUUUUUUUUUUUUUUUUUGCUUUUUUGUGUAAAAAACUAUAGAGAAUUGUUUUGAGCAGCUUAUGUCCUACAUUCUAGUGACCGGUGCUGCAGCUGGUUUUGGAGCAACAAUAGAUUUGAAGUCAGUGCUGGAGGGGAAUGGCUCCAGCCUUGACCCCUUUUUCAAUAAGGGUAACGCAGCUGCGAGCCUGCUCCUCCUUGGUUUCUUGUGCACCGCUGUGUUGUCAAUUUUAUCAUCUUUAGCUCUUCCUAAGAGAGGCUAUUAACUACUGCUUCACAGCAAAUAUAAUUAGUAAGUAUCAAUUCCAUGGAAGAUUUUACUUUGAAGGUUUUUUUUUUUUUUUCCCUGGUUUAUGUGAACUUGGUUUAGAGCUUGCUGUGAAUAUCAUAGUAAAUAAUUGGUAUUUGUGUUCAACUACAUGUAACUUAAUUCGAUAACUGCUUUCAAUAUAUAGCAAAAUAAAUUAAUUGAAUCAUCAAAAUAAGUCUCGUGGCAAAGAUACAAGACCCGAACUGCACACCGUCUGUCUGUAGAAAUGCUUCGGACCUGCUCUCCCUUCCAAUUUGAAUAAAAGAUUAAGCAAAAAUGGGACUGAUGAGCGGUAGAAUGAAAUAGAAAGGGUUGUUAUGACAUAUGAGAAACCUACUAACCAGUUUGACUGAUAUGGACUACUAACCAGUUUGACUUCCAUUCCAUAUCAGGUAAUACAUGUGUUGAAAAUCCAAACAAACAAAAAAAGAACAUAAUGAGGAUAAAGAAAAUAAAAGAAAA